rnacentral:sRNA from 1 species
AUGACUCAGAGCCUCACUAAGGCCCGAUGCCUUCACUGACUUCGGCCCUCAGGGUUCCCCUAACCCCCUAACUGGCAGGCCCGCCCUACCGUGCACCUCUAGGCAUCUCUGCUUAAUGGGCCCUGCUCCACCGGAAUCCCUUUGUGGAGACUGAGGUCUGUGAGGCAAGGUUAGAUAUUUGGGAACGAGGUUAUGUAGCUUUCUUUCUCUUGACCAACUUUGUUUUUGCAGCAGCUGAGAAGGAGAAGGAAAUGGACCCUUUUCAUUAUGAUUACCAGACCCUGAGGAUUGGGGGACUGGUGUUCGCUGUGGUCCUCUUCUCGGUUGGGAUCCUCCUUAUCUUAAGUCGCAGGUGCAAGUGCAGUUUCAAUCAGAAGCCCCGGGCCCCAGGAGAUGAGGAAGCCCAGGUGGAGAACCUCAUCACCGCCAAUGCAACAGAGCCCCAGAAAGCAGAGAACUAAAGUGCAGCCAUCGGGUGGAAGCCUCUGGAACCUGAAGGCCGCUGCUUGAACCUUUGGAUGCAAAUGUCGAUGCUUAAGAAAACCGGCCACUU